rnacentral:rRNA from 1 species
ACGGGAGGCAGCAGUGGGGGAUAUUGCACAAUGGGGGGAACCCUGAUGCAGCGACGCCGCGUGAGUGAUGAAGUGCUUCGGCAUGUAAAGCUCUAUCAGCAGGGAAGAAGAUGACGGUACCUGACUAAGAAGCCCCGGCUAACUACGUGCCAGCAGCCGCGGUAAUACGUAGGGGGCAAGCGUUAUCCGGAUUUACUGGGUGUAAAGGGAGCGUAGACGGCAUGUCAAGUCAGAUGUGAAAACCCGCGGCUCAACUGCGGGAUGGCAUUUGAAACUGAUAAGCUUGAGUACUGGAGGGGCAGGCGGAAUUCCUGGUGUAGCGGUGGAAUGCGUAGAUAUCAGGAAGAACACCGGCGGCGAAGGCGGCCUGCUGGACAGAAACUGACGUUGAGGCUCGAAAGCGUGGGGAGCAAACAGGAUUAGAUACCCUGGUA